rnacentral:rRNA from 1 species
AAACGGAGAGUUUGAUCCUGGCUCAGGACGAACGCUGGCGGCGUGCUUAACACAUGCAAGUCGAACGG